GGAGAGAUGGCCGAGCGGUUUAAGGCGCACGCUUGGAAAGCGUGUAAAUAUGAAAGUGUUUCAAGGGUUCGAAUCCCUUUCUCUCCG
rnacentral:tRNA from 1 species